ACUGGAAGAUUAUGGCGGUGCAGGCAUUUCAUUAUUGAUUUGUAUGCUAUUAAUUAUCUUUGCAGUUGUUGUUUCUGAAUAACAUUAAACUGAGCCUGACCUACAAGCAAAACAAAGUCAUUUGACAGUGUCCUGGCCUGAAGAGCUUUUUAAUUGUAACCUUGAAGUGUGGUUUGGGGGGCAGGAGCUUGGGACUCCCUGUUUAAAACCUAAAUCAUGCCCCAGGGCCACUGUCUAUGGCCUGAUUCUGCUGUUUCUCACUCUGGAUCUCUUGCAGUCCUCUUUGGCACCAACAGGUCAAUUCUAUUUUGCUACCCUGCUCGCUUUUGGCUGCCAUAGCAGCCAAAGAUUUUUGACUACCUCUCUGAUGUCCUCUGUUGGAUCCAGCUCAACCACCAUCACGUCACCUUCCUCCUGCUUCUCAUCCCCCCCUCAGAGGAGAAAACAGUCAGCUCAGCGCACUCCCUUGACUUUCUCAGAAUUGUCCUGGACCUUCUCCUCUUUGAGGCCUGCCCUCCAGCCCCUGUUAAGGGACCGGAUGCAGUCCAGCUCAUCUCGUUUUCAGGUCAGCCGGACAAUCUCUAAAUAGUCACUUCGACUCCGGAUCACCACUUUCUCACUCUCACCUCUACUGUAAGAAACUUAACUUUUACAUCAACAUCUCUGCUGAAGCCCACAAGCACAUUAUGAUGUGGACCCCUUCAGCAGCACUGAAAUGGCCUAUCCAUCUUCUAUGAUGACUUAAUUUCUGCCCCCUCCAUAUUGAUGCCUCCUCCAUCUGCUUCCGUGGAGUCUUCUACAACCAAUGGUUCUCCAGUCCCUGGCACCCUGAAAUUCAAGCUCUUCCACCACAGCUCACAUCUACUGCUUUCCUUGAGCUCUACCCCUUUAUGGUCGCAGCUUACCUGUGGUCCCCUUCUUGGUGGCCAUUGACAUUGAACCAGAGUCUCAACCCCCAUACACUACAGGAUAUUCUGCAAGCAAAGCGACUCUCCCAGAGUUUUUCUGCAUUUCUAACUGUCAGCUUGCAAUGCACAGUGCUCAAUUGGUGCACGGAGAUAUCCGACCAGAAACACUACUGCUGGGAGACUGUUUCUUUAUCGAGGAGGGCUGUGCACUGAAGACAGUCGACUUCUUUCAUAGUCUGGAUCUGGAUUUGCAGCCUGGAGUGCAGUCGGUCAGUGGGUUCUGUACAGCUCAGGCAUUCAUGGGACAGGAGAUAUUGUCAGAGUAUACCAAUCCUUAUCAGGUUGAUCUUUUGGGUAUUGCCGAUAUCGUAUUUUGAAGAGGAUUCGGAAUGGAAACUUGUGAAAGAGCUGGAGUCAAGCUGUGAGGAGGAGAAACUAUUGCUAGAGGACCAGGAC